GACGAACGCUGGCGGCGUGCUUAACACAUGCAAGUCGAACGGAAAGGCCCUGCUUUUGUGGUGUGCUCGAGUGGCGAACGGGUGAGUAACACGUGAGUAACCUGCCCUUGACUUUGGGAUAACUUCAGGAAACUGGGGCUAAUACCGGAUAGGAGCUCCUGCUGCAUGGUGGGGGUGGGAAAGUUUCGGCGGUUGGGGAUGGACUCGCGGCUUAUCAGCUUGUUGGUGGGGAAGUGGCUUACCAAGGCUUUGACGGGUAGCCGGCCUGAGAGGGUGACCGGCCACAUUGGGACUGAGAUACGGCCCAGACUCCUACGGGAGGCAGCAGUGGGGAAUAUUGCACAAUGGGCGGAAGCCUGAUGCAGCAACGCCGCGUGCGGGAUGACGGCCUUCGGGUUGUAAACCGCUUUCGCCUGUGACGAAGCGUGAGUGACGGUAAUGGGUAAAGAAGCACCGGCUAACUACGUG
rnacentral:rRNA from 1 species